rnacentral:rRNA from 1 species
ACGCUCGACACCUACGGGAGGUAGCAGUAGGGAAUCUUCCACAAUGGGCGCAAGCCUGAUGGAGCAACACCGCGUGAGUGAAGAAGGGUUUCGGCUCGUAAAGCUCUGUUGUUGGAGAAGAACGUGCGUGAGAGUAACUGUUCACGCAGUGACGGUAUCCAACCAGAAAGUCACGGCUAACUACGUGCCACAGCCGCAGUAAUCUGAGCGGGCUGGCAAGGC